rnacentral:rRNA from 1 species
UACGGGGGGGGCAAGCGUUGUUCGGAAUUACUGGGCGUAAAGGGCUCGUAGGCGGCCAACUAAGUCGGACGUGAAAUCCCUCGGCUUAACCGGGGAACUGCAUCCGAUACUGGAAGGCUUGAGUUUGGGAGAGGGAUGCGGAAUUCCAGGUGUAGCGGUGAAAUGCGUAGAUAUCUGGAGGAACACCGGUGGCGAAGGCGGCAUCCUGGACCAACACUGACACUGAGGAGCGAAAGCUAGGGGAGCAAACGGG